AGACUGCUCCUUCUAGAAUUCCACCACUUGUACUUUUGUUUUGUUUGAACCCGUUACCAACUUUAAUGCUACCGGCUAUUCCCGGUCCCGCGCGCCCAUCCUCCAAACACCGAACUUAACCGAUAUUCCCAUCCAGGUUCAUGAUAUCGUCGUAUAUCUAUCAGCUCUUCAGAGAUUUCUGAUUCCCCAUUUCCCUGAAUUAGGGUUCGAGUUUGGCUUGAAAUUUCAUGGAAGCUUCAGCUUCUGCGUCUUCAAAGUCUAACAGUAACAGGCCAAGGAUUCGUUAUUUCAGCUGUAGUUCCUUUAGGCGUUGUUGUCGCUGUUUCUGUUGUUUCUACGCAUAUCCUUGAGUUUGAAAUUCCCUUUUUUUUAAUCUUUUGUUCUUUGAAGUUUUGAAAUGGAUUUAUCGCAAGCUCAAUCGGGUCUAUCGCUUGGGUUUCACUCGCACUCAUCUUCCAAUCCGAUUCCGUUGCAACUACUUGAUCAGAGGGAAGAGAACCUAGUUGAGAAAGAUGAAAAUCAGGCUGAAGAAGAGGAGAAUUUUAGCAUUUUGGGUCAUCCAAUGUGUAUAAAGAGGCAAAGAGAUGGCCAAUCAUCGUCCUCCUCAUCAUCGUCGCCCAACCCUCCUAAGCGAGUCGCCGUGGAACCAGGACUCGAGUGUCGACGAGCCAUGGUUCGAGGCUGGGGCAACCAAUCACUUCCCGUGGCGGACCCAGAAAUUCAUGAAAUUAUGGAGAAAGAGAAGCAGAGGCAGGUAAAAGGAAUCGAACUUAUAGCAUCGGAGAAUUUUGUUUGCCGUGCGGUGAUGGAAGCUCUAGGUAGCCACUUGACGAAUAAAUACUCUGAGGGACUUCCCGGAGCCAGAUACUACACUGGAAAUCAGUAUAUUGACCAAAUUGAAUCGCUAUGUUGCAGUCGGGCAUUAGCGGCCUUUGGGCUUGAUCCUGAAAAAUGGGGCGUUAAUGUGCAGCCAUAUUCAUGUACAUCCGCGAAUUUUGCGGUUUACACGGGCCUUUUACUACCUGGGGACCGGAUUAUGGGUUUGGAUUCACCUUCUGGGGGGCAUUUGAGUCAUGGAUAUUAUACUUCGGGUGGAAAAAAGGUGUCUGCUUCGUCGAUUUUCUUUGAGAGUUUGCCUUACAAAGUGAAUCUACAAACUGGGUAUAUUGAUUAUGAUAAGAUGGAGGACAAGGCAAUGGAUUUUAGACCCAAGAUACUUAUUUGUGGUGGAAGCUCAUACCCAAGGGAAUGGGAUUACGCCAGGUUUAGGCAAGUUGCAGAUAAGAUUGGAGCAGUAUUGAUGUGUGACAUGGCUCAUAUCAGCGGCCUUGUGGCAGCUAAGGAAUCUGCAAGUCCAUUUGAUUAUUGUGAUAUUGUCACUUCCACAACUCACAAAAGUCUUCGAGGUCCCAGAGGAGGAAUUAUUUUUUAUCGGAAAGGGCCAAAAUCAAGGAAGCAAAACAUGCUUCUUAGUCAUGGUGAUGGUAGUGUCCAUUAUGAUUUCGAAGAAAGGAUAAACUUUGCAGUUCAUCCAUCAUUACAAGGUGGUCCUCACAAUAAUCACAUUGCAGCUCUUGCCGUAGCCUUAAAACAAGUAGCUACUCCAGAUUACAAAGCAUACAUGCAACAGGUGAAGAAAAAUGCCCAGGCAUUAGCGUCUGCCUUGUUGAGAAGAAAAUGCAAAUUGGUGACUGGGGGUACUGAUAACCACUUACUGCUCUGGGAUCUAACUACUCUAGGCUUAGCAGGCAGGAACUAUGAGAAAGUAUGUGAAAUGUGCCACAUCACUCUAAAUAAGAUUGCUAUCUUUGGUGACAAUGGUGCUAUUUGUCUUGGUGGAGUGAGAAUUGGCACUCCUGCUAUGACAUCAAGAGGCUGUUUAGAGGUUGAUUUUGAAACUAUUGCCGACUUUCUUCUUAGGGCAGCUCAGAUAACAUGUGCGGUACAAAGGGAAUACGGGAAAUUCCCAAAAGAUUUCCCCAAGGGUCUUCAAAACAGUAGAGAUAUCGUUGAGCUUCGAAACCGGGUUGAGACAUUUGCUUCCCAGUUUGCAAUGCCAGGAUUCGACUUUUGAAUAUGUAAAGGGGUCAAAUCAAAUGCAUCCUUUGGUUGCUUCCUGCAAUCUUUAUGGAUGCGUGUUGUUUUGAAUUUUGGUUAAACAUGCAAGACAUGCGAAUAUCUGCUUAAGGGUGAAAACCGUAUUUUUGUUCCCCUUAUUUAUGGCCAAUGUGCAGGUUCUAAGGUAAUGUGCUGUGGCACGGUGCAAUAUGAUUCCUCAGUAUAUGUCUCGUGCUGCCGGAAUGUCCUGUUCUUCGCAUUUUUGCUGUUAAUUAAAGGUGCCUUUUUGGUGGUAUGGAUAAUUGAUUUGCUGCUAUUUGGUAUUAAUUUGUUGAUUACAAAUUAGUUCAGCAUGCAGAGAGAGAGAGAGAGAGAGAGAGAGAGAGAGAGAGGUAGGAAGUGGAAUUUGGUUCUUGUCUUUUCACUAUUCAAAUCUUGUUGGAAUAUUAAAGAACUUGAUUACUGAUGAUAGUUAAAGGCUUCGUCGUGUGUUUUAAAGGGCAAUGGUUAUUAACAGUAAACUCUGCGAAGAUUUUCCGUUUC